rnacentral:rRNA from 1 species
GGGGAAUUUUGGACAAUGGGCGCAAGCCUGAUCCAGCCAUGCCGCGUGAGUGAAGAAGGCCUUCGGGUUGUAAAGCUCUUUCGGACGGAAAGAAAUCGCGCAGGCUAAUACCCUGCGCGGAUGACGGUACCGUCAUAAGAAGCACCGGCUAACUACGUGCCAGCAGCCGCGGUAAUACGUAGGGUGCGAGCGUUAAUCGGAAUUACUGGGCGUAAAGCGUGCGCAGGCGGUUGAUUAAGACAGGCGUGAAAUCCCCGGGCUUAACCUGGGAACUGCGCUUGUGACUGGUCAGCUAGAGUACGGCAGAGGGGGGUGGAAUUCCACGUGUAGCAGUGAAAUGCGUAGAGAUGUGGAGGAACACCGAUGGCGAAGGCAGCCCCCUGGGCCGAUACUGACGCUCAUGCACGAAAGCGUGGGUAGCAAAC